GUUUGCGAUCAUACCAGCACUAAUGCACCGGAUCCCAUCAGAACUCCGCAGUUAAGCGUGCUUGGGCGAGAGUAGUACUAGGAUGGGUGACCCCCUGGGAAGUCCUCGUGUUGCAACCC
rnacentral:rRNA from 1 species